GUAGGUGAACCUGCGGAAGGAUCAUUACCGAGUGAGGGCCCUCUGGGUCCAACCUCCCACCCGUGUUUAUCGUACCUUGUUGCUUCGGCGGGCCCGCCUCACGGCCGCCGGGGGGCUUCUGCCCUCUGGCCCGCGCCCGCCGAAGACACCAUUGAACGCUGUCUGAAGAUUGCAGUCUGAGCAAUUAGCUAAAUAAGUUAAAACUUUCAACAACGGAUCUCUUGGUUCCG
rnacentral:misc_RNA from 1 species